rnacentral:rRNA from 1 species
GACGAACGCUGGCGGCGUGCUUAACACAUGCAAGUCGAACGGAAAGGCCCUGCUUUUGUGGGGUGCUCGAGUGGCGAACGGGUGAGUAACACGUGAGUAACCUGCCCUUGACUUUGGGAUAACUUCAGGAAACUGGGGCUAAUACCGGAUAGGAGCUCCUGCUGCAUGGUGGGGGUUGGAAAGUUUCGGCGGUUGGGGAUGGACUCGCGGCUUAUCAGCUUGUUGGUGGGGUAGUGGCUUACCAAGGCUUUGACGGGUAGCCGGCCUGAGAGGGUGACCGGCCACAUUGGGACUGAGAUACCGCCCAGACUCCUACGGGGGGCAGCAGUGGGGAAUAUUGCACAAUGGGCGGAAGCCUGAUGCAGCAACGCCGCGUGCGGGAUGACGGCCUUCGGGUUGUAAACCGCUUUCGCCUGUGACGAAGCGUGAGUGACGGUAAUGGGUAAAGAAGCACCGGCUAACUACGUG